GAGAUAGAAAUGCACAAGGGAGACAAAGCUUGGGGGAGCACAUUUAAAUGAUGAAGGGAUUAAAUUGCCUCAGGGAAACAGGAGGAGAAUGAAAGUAAUGACGGAUGAAAAACAAGAACAGGAACUAACAAUCCAAACUUACACAUAGGCAUGCACACGCACACAGACACACACACAAACAUACACCCGUACUCACAGGCACAAACGCAAGCUCACACACACACACACAUUGCGCCAGUGGUAGAGCGAGGGACGUCGCACAGUGCAGAGUGGGGAAGAGGGAAGGAGAGCAGAACAGUGCAGCGGGACACAGAGCGGAAACACACACACCAGGACGUCUGUUGCAUGAAGGUGGGGUUAGGAUCUCAAUGGACCAUCAUCAGUGACAUGGAGCACUGUAAGCCACCCACCACCAGAGGGCAAUGUUCUGCAUUACCAGUGGAACACACUGACCAGUCUCCAGCCUCAGACCACUCCCACUGUCCGAGAAUCCCUAAUGUGUGCUGACUGCUGAUAAGCACAUACACGAGACAUAUCGGGACAGAAACAAGAUAAGACAGAGAACCAAGGAACAAGGGGUAAAACGUUGUAUCUUUGCUUCUAGUUGGUCAGUAUCAGGGUUCCUAUGUUCUCUUGGAACCAAUUCGUUUUCCAAAACAAAGACAUUUCAUAAUGCCCCAUGAGGUAAUUGGAGCAUAGGGCUGGGACGGGGAAACAGAGACAAAAGCUGAUUAGAGAGUGGUGUAUGAUUGGUCCUUCUCCAGGAACCUUUGAGGAUGCAGCUGUCUGUCAUCAUUCUGGGUGUUUUCCUGUCCCUCCUCAUCCUGCUGACCAUAUUUGGCAACGUCCUGGUGUGUCUGGCGGUGUGUGCCACGCGACGUCUCCGCUGCCUCACAAACUGUUUCAUUGUCUCCCUGGCCGUGACUGACUUGCUGCUCGGCAUGCUGGUCCUGCCUUUCUCCGCCCUCCUCCAGCUCUCCAACGAUUGGCCGCUGGGGCCCACCUUCUGCAACCUCUACAUCUCCAUGGAUGUCAUGCUGUGCACCGCCUCCAUCCUCAACCUGUUGGCCAUCAGUGUUGACCGCUACCUGGCCGUGACGGCGCCCCUCAGGUACCCCUCGCUGGUGCUGCCAAGGCGUGUCGCCGUAGUGAUGGCGUCAGUGUGGGCGGUGUCGCUGGCAGUGUCGUUCCUGCCCAUCCAGCUGGGCUGGAACACAUCCAACGGCACCGUGCAGAAUUUCGGCCCCGACGACCCAGAGAGGAAGUGCCUUUUCAGGCUGAACCCAUCUUACGUCAUAGUGGACUCCCUGCUCACCUUCUACCUCCCCCUGCUGGUCAUGUGCUGGACCUACCACCGCAUCCUGCGCAUCGCACGGGCGCAGGCCAAACGCAUCAUCUCCAUGCGGCCCAACUUCAACGGCCCCGCCGCCGCCACCACAGUGGUCUCCACGGUGACGGCGGUGGCGCUGCGCGAGCACAAGGCCACGGUGACUUUGGCGGCGGUGAUUGGGGCGUUUGUGGUGUGCUGGGUGCCCUACUUCACCCUGUUCACCGUCAUGGGGGUGCGAGAGCAGGCGGAGCCCCCGCCCGUAGCCUAUCCCGUGGUGCUGUGGCUGGGCUACACCAACUCCGCCCUCAACCCCAUCCUCUACGCCGCGCUCAACAGAGACUUCCGCUCGGCGUACGCUCGGCUGCUGCGCUGCGGCUACUAUAGCACAGGGAGGGGCCGGCCACCAUCGGCUCACCCGGCGGGGGAGGUGACCCUGCUGUGUGGACACACCCCCUCCAUCUGCAGGGCGGGGCUAGGGGAGACAGGUAUGUUGCUCCAGGACGUGAAUAGAAGACCUGCCAUGGCCACCUUCCAGCUCAGGAAUGGGGCCAAUGGCAAUGACAACACCUCGAUGAAUGCCAGCCAUAGCUCGUGCUGAGGCAAGGCUGGUGUGUGACCAGAAUGUACCAGUAGAUCCAUCCAGCAUCCAGCCUGCAUCCUGACCUGUGUCUCAGAGGGAGGCCAAUGUGUUUGGGAGCAGAUUCGGAGGUAGGAGCGUGAACAUCCGUACGGAGGACACAGAGGCAUGCUCCUUCACAAAGUGUUCUGACAUUUGACAGAUAUGGGUCGAAUCGAAAUAGCGGUCGCCGUGUCAGACGAGACGGGACACAGCCAUGCCAGCUGCAGGGGAGUCCACAACAGCAAGCUCAUAGGACCAGGAAAACUGUAUGCCAUAAAGUAGCGAAAAAACACUGAGUAGCUGACGCAUUGUGGAUUUACUGUAACCUCAUAUGCAGGAUGGAAUAACUGGACGCUCUCACUUCCAGGAAGGAGAAAGUUGACAUUUACCUGGGACUUGAGAUUUCAUUCUCCUUCAUAUUGACUGGAUCUAAUGUGCAGCUAUCACAUGACAUAAAAUCUGGUUCCCAAUUUUUAUUGAGUCAGGCUUGUUACUCCUCAAUAAUAGUUAAUUGGAUAUUCCCUUUGGUAUGUUGAGUUUCUCAUUUUAGAUCACAGGUAUACUACACCGAACUGAAAAGUAAUGAAUUCCCAGUUGUUUCAAAGCAAAUUACAGCAGAAAGGUCAACUAUUGGUAUUCAUUUUGAAAACGCACACAAACACACCAAUGUUCAAUGCAACUUGAAUAAAACCAAGUGGACAGCAGACGAUGAAUUCACUUUCAUGUUAUGAUCUUAUAGGCAACUGGGCAGGACCUAGGCCUAUUAAUUUGAAAGGGUUGGUGAAUAAUAUUUAAUUUAUUUAAACUUGAGCAAAGCAACAGCACAUACUAAAGGAUUAUACAGUACCUACAUUUUGGACAUUAUUUUAACAAAGCCUCAAUCAAGAAUAAUGUGAUUAGCAAUCCUAUGACUCUUC